UGGUUCGCCCGGGAUCGAACCGGUAGACCUUCGCGUGUAAAGCAAUGAUAACCACUACAGCUACGGAACC